UUCUCUUGUAGCUCCUGCACCCUUUUCAGGGGGGCAAUUAAUCAGUUAUCGAAAAGGGGCACUUAAACCCUGAAAUGGGAGGGCCUCACAGUUGUUCGGGCUGAUGGUCAGACACUUAAGUUUAGGAGUUUAGGAAACCCAAAAGGCGUUUUUCUAUAGGAAGCAUCUGCAGAAAGAAUAUAGAACUGUUUAUUUGAGCAAACUGUCCAUUUAAAAUCGUUUUCCCCGUAAUUUCAUUCCGAGCGAAACACGGUUAGCAGUGGCCCGGCUUGAGCAUCAUGUUGACAUUUUCUGGCGCAGAAAGGUGAUGAUGCAUCUUGGUUUAUGGAGAAUCAAAGACGAAAGGAGAAGGAAGAGGGGGAAAUCUUUGUCUUUCGUAAAAAACAGCCUGAUCUUCAGUGGUAAGUAUUGCAGAUGUCCCCCAUGCUAACUAUUAGCACACCGUUACCUGCGCAGCAACAACACUCCGGGCCUCCGGUUUGAAAGAUAACCCUUCAUCUCUCUUCCCUGGAUUGCCAUUUUGUUUUACAACUUUGGAUAUCUGAAAGUGUCCUUUACUGCUGGUUUCGCAAACCCCGACCAUGACGAACUCGGCAAAAGAACACAGUACACGCCGAAUAUCACGCGCGGGGCGGGAAGCUGCACCAACAUGGCGGAUGACGGCUGUUGCUUGGUGUGACGGUACAGUGGAUUGUCACGCGCAAUCCUCCUCGCUUGACAUUCACGGCAACCCUAUACCGCACAGGUGGCUGGAAGAUGGUUGUAUAUUUAAUGGCGAGGUCUGAGCUAUGUAGUAUGACUCGUCUGUAUGUUCCCUAUGCCUUUCUCAUGAAUCAGUAACAGACGUACUCAUCACCUUUUGAUUAGUAAAGCCCAAAGUGCACUGGGCUGCACUUAUGUUUCUUUUUCACAGUAAACAAACACAGUGUUCACUGAUAAAUAAAAAAAUAAAAAAACUCUGAUGUAAGAUCACAAUCACACGCCCCGGCAUUUGCAGCCAUAACUGAACGCACUCGUCCAGGAGAUUCCCCUGCACUGCCGUGAAGGCCUUGUUCCACACAGCUGCGAUGCCCCUUUGGUGCCUCUCACUCUCUCACAGGUCUUUACGUUUUCAUCUUGACGGACAACAUCUCGCCCAGCCACGGUCUCUUAGCCCUGGGGCAUAUUUUUAAUAGAACGAAGCAAAUCUCCUGCUCGCUCUUUUUUUUUUGUUUUGUUUGUUUAGGCGAUGCUGCCGCGUGCCAAAAAUGCUGCGAACCUCGAAGAGAGGUCCACGGGAUCCGUGAGUCAGGCAGCUGGGCGGGCACGACAGUGUUGGUUGCCAAGGGAGACAGCGCAUCGGCUUAACAAAUGGAGAUUGUCGCAUGUUUGUUUGUCUGCUGUGGGGCCUUGCCGAUGGCAUGUGGUUUCACCUUCGCUCCAGUCCGCUCCCACUGUUCCCAUUGCUCCCAGCCUUUGUCAUUCCGUAACCAGCCAGUCUCCACAAGAGGCUCCUGAAGGAAGAGGCCACCAUCUCCAGAUAUCACCUGCAGUAUCUGUGUGAGCGUGUUCCUAUCAGAAGAAGAGGGGCAGCUUGAAAAGGCUUUUCCAGACUCAUCUCCGUUGCCGCCUCCAUGUUUUUUUUUUAUUUGGCUUAACGUUUAUUUUUAAAUUGAUUAAAUGUGCAAACCCUGGUGUGUCGUUACCUAGAACGCUCUGUCCCUGUGUGCCUGCUUUUCUUUCCACGCGAUUAAUAGGUUUUAUUUCUUAAAAGCUUGACUGUUCCCAUUUUAAUCCAUAUGGUGUCAAUAAAACUGGCAUAAUUCAAUAAAAUGAAUCACGCAGGCAGUAAA